rnacentral:lncRNA from 1 species
AGCAUCCAGAGGAAUACUUUGAGCAUGAUCCUACAUGCUUGCGUAUUUACAGAUUUAUUGCUAAUAUUUUUAAUGCCACAUCGUUACCAACUGAAGGUGCAAUAAUAACCUUGGUAAGAUGUUUCUUAUUUAUCAAGCAUGCUUAAAAAUUGGUCUUGUACACAGAGAAAGGUCUUUUUUCAAAUGAAAGAAGAUUCCUGAAGUUACCAUAAGAACUUUAUGAAGAGAAGCCUAUCAGAGGAGAGUAAAUAAACAUAUUUGGGUCCUCUAAUCUUCUAAAAUUUUGCCUUUCCUUUUCUCAUCACAAAACAACUGCAAUUAAAGGUAAUUAGAGAGCACGCACACACACACACACACACACACACAGGCACUUAACACCGUGAACCCUUACACGUAGUGUGGGGUGGGAAGGAGACAGUAAAAAGGCCAAGUGAACCUCAGAGACUGAUACUGUGCAGGUCAAGCCAGGUCUCAGGCUGUGUUCCCUGGACAGUUCAUUGCCUUCUGUUCUCUGUCCCUUGGCUUACAGGUGUCAGCCUAUCCCUGCUGACCACUGGUGUCUGCUCGUGAUACUCCCCAGGAUGACAGCACCAGCAGUUCUUAGAAAAUCUUUUGUUAGCCUGCUAAGCUGUAGCUGUGUCCUCAGUUUGUGUUAUCCAUACAGAAUUCUGAAGGUCUUCUUAGAAAGGCUUUUGUCGUAUGCUGAGAUUGACAUCUGUCCCACUAACUGGAGGAGGAUCGUCCUGGGAGCCAUUCUUCUUACCUGCAAGGAUUGGGAUGAUGAGACUCUGUGGAAUGUGGAGUUCUGCCGGAUCUUCAAGGAUGUUACACUUGAGGACAUGUGGGUUUGAAAGGGUUUGGUGAAUUUUCUAACCAUUUUCCAGUUCAUUUGCUUCCAUAAGGAAUGCAAUUUAAGAAAUAAUUUUAAAUAUUACAUUAUAUAGAAAAUGGAAAUAGUCACAAAGCUGU